AGCUCCAAUAGGAUAUAUCAAAGUUGUUGCAGUUGAAAAGCUCGUAGUCGUAUUUCUGGUGGGUUGAUGCUCUCGUGUGGGUGAACGAAAGUUUGCUUGCUCCUGGGCCGCCUGCCAUUUUGUGGAACUCCGUGGCGGGGUUGUGGUUCACUCCAUGACCUCGUCGCGCCACUCCGUCACUGAGAGCAAAUUGGAGUGCUCAAAGCAGGCUUUACAGCUUUGAACAUCUUAGCUUGGAAUGACAAAGUACGACUUUUCGUUCACUUUGUUGGUUAUGAAUGAGAAGUAAUGAUAAAUAGGAACAGUUGCGGGGGUACUCGUACUGGAAAGUCAGAGGUGAAAUUCUUGGAUUUUUCCAUGACGAACGACUGCGAAAGCAUUUACCAAGGAUGUUUUCAUUG
rnacentral:rRNA from 1 species